rnacentral:rRNA from 1 species
CCUACGGGAGGCUGCAGUGGGGAAUAUUGGACAAUGGGGGGAACCCUGAUCCAGCCAUGCCGCGUGUGUGAAGAAGGCCCUCGGGUUGUAAAGCACUUUCAGGGAGGAAGAACGCCUGGUGGUUAAUACCCAUCAGGAAAGACAUCACUCACAGAAGAAGCACCGGCUAACUCCGUGCCAGCAGCCGCGGUAAUACGGAGGGUGCGAGCGUUAAUCGGAAUUACUGGGCGUAAAGCGCGCGUAGGUGGCUUGAUAAGCCGGUUGUGAAAGCCCCGGGCUCAACCUGGGAACGGCAUCCGGAACUGUCAAGCUAGAGUGCAGGAGAGGAAGGUAGAAUUCCCGGUGUAGCGGUGAAAUGCGUAGAGAUCGGGAGGAAUACCAGUGGCGAAGGCGGCCUUCUGGACUGACACUGACACUGAGGUGCGAAAGCGUGGGUAGCAAACAGGAUUAGAUACCCUAGUAGUC